GGGGGUGUGGCUCAGUUGGUAGAGCGUUCGCUUAGCAUGGCAUCUGCAAUGGAUUCUUCUCUUGCAGGGCAGUCAUGCGAAAGGUCCUGGGUUCGAUUCCCAGCUCCUCCA